UAGCCAGUUGAUAUGUGGUGGGUUUGGUGGAUGGAUGAGUGGUAUAAUCGCAGACGGUUUGAAUGAACGGCGUAGUGGUGCCUCGGUGCUGCUGCGUGUUAUCGUGCUUUCGCCGUUGUAAACGAGAGACAGUGAAUAGCUGGGAGGUGCAGUAACUCCUCCUUUCUUUGGCUACUUGGCGGACUAUGGUGGUGAAAAUGACUGUGCAAGGCACCGGGGUUAACCGCCUCAGUGCUGUUGUUUUUGUAGCAGCAGCAAUAUGGUAUCCGGCACGCACGUUACAGGUGUUGUGGUUGUUGUUUCGGUAAUGCGUGGCUGUCUGUGGGUGUUGGAUCUGACUGUCAGGUUGCCUGCAAAAAGGUAGGCCUGGCAGUGGUUGCAGACGCCUUGCAGUGUGCAGCCUACGCUGCUAUCGAAGUGCCUGUGGUACUGGGGGCGAAAUAGUCAGUGGUGCUGUGGUAGACGAGCUACCCGACCCGUCUUGAAACACGGACCAAGGAGUUUAACAUGUAUGCGAGUCAAAGGGUCCUACGAAACCCCUAGGCGCAGUGAAAGUGAAGUUCGUGUUGCAUCAUCAGUGCGCGCGCGCACACAUGCAGCAAUGCGUGUGUGUGGCAGACAUGCAAGGCAAUACGA
rnacentral:rRNA from 1 species